CACUCCUACGGGAGGCAGCAGUGGGGAAUUUUGGACAAUGGGCGAAAGCCUGAUCCAGCAAUGCCGCGUGAGUGAAGAAGGCCUUCGGGUUGUAAAGCUCUUUUGUCAGGGAAGAAACGGUGAAAGCUAAUAUCUUUUGCUAAUGACGGUACCUGAAGAAUAAGCACCGGCUAACUACGUGCCAGCAGCCGCGGUAAUACGUAGGGUGCAAGCGUUAAUCGGAAUUACUGGGCGUAAAGCGUGCGCAGGCGGUUUUGUAAGUCUGAUGUGAAAUCCCCGGGCUCAACCUGGGAAUUGCAUUGGAGACUACAAGGCUAGAAUCUGGCAGAGGGGGGUAGAAUUCCACGUGUAGCAGUGAAAUGCGUAGAUAUGUGGAGGAACACCGAUGGCGAAGGCAGCCCCCUGGGUCAAGAUUGACGCUCAUGCACGAAAGCGUGGGGAGCAAACAGGAUUAGAAACCCGGGUAGUCCCAUGA
rnacentral:rRNA from 1 species